rnacentral:rRNA from 1 species
GAUGAACGCUGGCGGCGUGCUUAACACAUGCAAGUCGAACGAAGCAACUUUUGAGCUUGCUCGAAAGUUGACUGAGUGGCGGACGGGUGAGUAACGCGUGGGUAACCUGCCUUACACAGGGGGAUAACAGUUGGAAACGACUGCUAAUACCGCAUAAAAUUCUGAAAGGGCAUCCUUUCAGAAUCAAAGUUUUUUCGGUGUAAGAUGGGCCCGCGGCGCAUUAGCUAGUUGGUGAGGUAACGGCUCACCAAGGCGACGAUGCGUAGCCGACCUGAGAGGGUGAUCGGCCACACUGGGACUGAGACACGGCCCAGACUCCUACGGGAGGCAGCAGUAGGGAAUCAUCCGCAAUGGACGAAAGUCUGACGGUGCAACGCCGCGUGAGCGAUGAAGGCCUUCGGGUCGUAAAGCUCUGUCGUUAGGGAAGAACAAGUACCGGAGUCACUGCCGGUACCUUGACGGUACCUAACCAGAAAGCCACGGCUAACUACGUGCCAGCCGCCGCAGUAACAC